rnacentral:rRNA from 1 species
GAUGAACGCUGGCGGCGUGCCUAAUACAUGCAAGUCGAGCGAACAGACGAGGAGCUUGCUCCUCUGACGUUAGCGGCGGACGGGUGAGUAACACGUGGAUAACCUACCUAUAAGACUGGGAUAACUUCGGGAAACCGGAGCUAAUACCGGAUAAUAUCUUUAACCGCAUGGUUCAAUAGUGAAAGACGGUUUUGCUGUACCUUAUAGAUGGAUCCCCGCCGCAUUAGCUAGUUGGUAAGGUAACGGCUUACCAAGGCAACGAUGCGUAGCGGACCUGAAAGGGUGAUCGGCAACACUGGAACUGAGACACGGUCCAGACUCCUACGGGAGGCAGCAGUAGGGAAUCUUCCGCAAUGGGCGAAAGCCUGACGGAGCAACGCCGCGUGAGUGAUGAAGGUCUUCGGAUCGUAAAACUCUGUUAUUAGGGAAGAACAAAUGUGUAAGUAACUAUGCACGUCUUGACGGUACCUAAUCAGAAAGCCACGGCUAACUACGUG